GCAGACGGGUGAGUAACGCGUAUGUAACCUACCCUGUACAGGGGGAUAACCCGGAGAAAUUCGGACUAAUAUCCCAUAACAAUAUUCGGAGGCAUCUUUGGAUAUUUAAAGUUCCGGCGGUACGGGAUGGGCAUGCGUAACAUUAGCUAGUUGGUAAGGUAACGGCUUACCAAGGCUUUGAUGUUUAGGGGUCCUGAGAGGGUGGUCCCCCACACUGGUACUGAGACACGGACCAGACUCCUACGGGAGGCAGCAGUGAGGAAUAUUGGUCAAUGGGCGCAAGCCUGAACCAGCCAUCCCGCGUGCAGGAAGACGGCCCUAUGGGUUGUAAACUGCUUUUCCAGGGGGAGAAACUUGCGCACGUGUUGCGCAAUUGACGGUACCCUGGGAAUAAGCAUCGGCUAACUCCGUGCCAGCAGCCGCGGUAAUACGGAGGAUGCGAGCGUUAUCCGGAUUCAUUGGGUUUAAAGGGUGCGUAGGCGGACUAUUAAGUCAGUGGUGAAAUCCUGCAGCUUAACUGCAGAACUGCCAUUGAUACUGAUAGCCUUGAGUUUGGUUAAGGUAGGCGGAAUGUGUAAUGUAGCGGUGAAAUGCUUAGAUAUUACACAGAACACCAAUUGCGUAGGCAGCUUACUGAGCCGACACUGACGCUGAGGCACGAAAGCGUGGGGAUCGAACAGGAUUAGAUACCCUGGUAGUCCACGCCGUAAACGAUGAUUACUCGCUGUUGGCGAUACACUGUCAGCGGCUAAGCAAAAGCAAUAAGUAAUCCACCUGGGGAGUACGGCCGCAAGGUUGAAACUCAAAGGAAUU
rnacentral:rRNA from 1 species